rnacentral:lncRNA from 1 species
AAUAUAUGAAAACUCCUAGAUCCUUUGAGAUUCAUUGAACAUUUCAAUGGCAUGUUUAAAUCUCGAUAUGCCCCUCUAGUUUGUGACUGGGAUGCCGAGGAUCACAAAGCGGGUGUGAAUAACCAUGCAAAUCUACAUGGUGCCCUCACAUGUUACAGUCACCUAUUCGAUGUGCCGGUAAACCACACACGCUCCACCGAACUAUGACAAACAUUGAGUCACCCUUUGCUACCUUUGCUUAGAACCAUUUAGUGUGCCGGUAAACCACACACGCUCCACCGAACUAUGACAAACAUUGAGUCACCCUUUGCUACCUUUGCUUAGAACCAUUUAGUGUGCCGGUAAACCACACACGCUCCACUAACUUCUUCGCAAGGGCACAAAGUGUAAUUUCAUGGAAUUGCGUCAAUUCACCUUUGCCUAAAA